ACUUAAAUAGUUUAAAUAAAAUAUUAAUUUGUGGUAUUAAGGAUGUAGUAGUUACUACUUUAGGUA
rnacentral:tRNA from 1 species